CAAUAAGCGGAGGAAAAGAAACCAACAGGGAUUGCUCUAGUAACGGCGAGUGAAGCAGCAAUAGCUCAAAUUUGAAAUCUGGCGUCUUCGACGUCCGAGUUGUAAUUUGUAGAGGAUGCUUCUGAGUAACCACCGACCUAAGUUCCUUGGAACAGGACGUCAUAGAGGGUGAGAAUCCCGUAUGCGGUCGGAAAGGUGCUCUACACGUAGCUCCUUCGACGAGUCGAGUUGUUUGGGAAUGCAGCUCUAAAUGGGAGGUAAAUUUCUUCUAAAGCUAAAUAUUGGCCAGAGACCGAUAGCGCACAAGUAGAGUGAUCGAAAGAUGAAAAGCACUUUGGAAAGAGAGUUAAAAAGCACGUGAAAUUGUUAAAAGGGAAGGGAUUGCAACCAGACUUGCUCGCGGUGUUCCGCCGGUCUUCUGACCGGUCUACUCGCCGCGUUGCAGGCCAGCAUCGUCUGGUGCCGCUGGAUAAGACUUGAGGAAUGUAGCUCCCUCGGGAGUGUUAUAGCCUCUUGUGAUGCAGCGAGCGCCGGGCGAGGUCCGCGCUUCGGCUAGGAUGCUGGCGUAAUGGUCGUAAUCCGCCCGUCUUGAAACACGGACCAAGGAGUCUAACAUCUAU
rnacentral:rRNA from 1 species